AUGACAGGAAUAUAUAAAACAUCAUUAAGAGAAAUUAUUCACUUGAGGACCAAAAAUUCAACAUUUCUCAGAGGAGUUUACGAAAGGAAGCUUCACUUUCACACUCAUGUUUGCAUAUGGUGGUGUGUUCUUACAACAUACAGAACUACCAAAUUUUGCUCUCAUUGUGUAAGUGGAAGAUCCUCGUUCCUUUCCCGCUCAUAUGCAGUGACGAUAAACUGAAGUUAUGAAAAUGUUUUGCGACACAGUGACAGCAAGAUCAUAUAAAAUAUCAUUGAGAGAAAGGUUUCACUUGUGGAUCGGGAUUCAGAAUAGAAUUUUAUUUUAUUUUUUUCAGAGGAGUUACAAAAGGAAGCUUACCUCUCAUACUCAUGUCAGAAUGAGGACGUCACUAGAAGAUCUACAAUCUUGACAUAUACAGUUAUGAUAAAAUGUAUUGAGACACGAUGAAAGCAGCACAAUGUGUGAGGGUUCAGAAAUUUUUAAAUAUGUGACUAUAAGAACUUUUACAAUGAACCUCUGAUUACCAUUUUUUCAACAGCUUUUGUCAUAGUUUACUUUGUGAGAAUACUCACAUGCACAGUACUGUAUAUUUGCAUGAACUGAAUACGAUGGAAGCCAAACAAACUUACUGAAUAAAAAAUGACUAACAA